rnacentral:rRNA from 1 species
UGGGGAAUAUUGCACAAUGGGCGCAAGCCUGAUGCAGCCAUGCCGCGUGUGUGAAGAAGGCCUUCGGGUUGUAAAGCACUUUCAGCGAGGAGGAAGGCAAUCGUGUUAAUAGCACGGUUGAUUGACGUUACUCGCAGAAGAAGCACCGGCUAACUCCGUGCCAGCAGCCGCGGUAAUACGGAGGGUGCAAGCGUUAAUCGGAAUUACUGGGCGUAAAGCGCACGCAGGCGGUUUGUUAAGUCAGAUGUGAAAUCCCCGCGCUUAACGUGGGAACUGCAUUUGAAACUGGCAAGCUAGAGUCUUGUAGAGGGGGGUAGAAUUCCAGGUGUAGCGGUGAAAUGCGUAGAGAUCUGGAGGAAUACCGGUGGCGAAGGCGGCCCCCUGGACAAAGACUGACGCUCAGGUGCGAAAGCGUGGGGAGCAAACA